rnacentral:rRNA from 1 species
ACGGCUCAGUAACACGUAGUCAACAUGCCCAGGGGACGUGGAUAACCUCGGGAAACUGAGGAUAAACCACGAUAAGUCACUACUUCUGGAAUGGGUAAUGACUCAAAUCUACAUGGCCCCUGGAUUGGACUGCGGCCGAUCAGGCUGUUGGUGAGGUAAUGGCCCACCAAACCUGUAACCGGUACGGGCUCUGAGAGGAGGAGCCCGGAGAUGGGCACUGAGACAAGGGCCCAGGCCCUAUGGGGCGCAGCAGGCGCGAAACCUCUGCAAUAGGCGAAAGCCUGACAGGGUUACUCUGAGUGAUUUCCGUUAAGGAGAUCUUUUGGCACCUCUAAAAAUGGUGCAGAAUAAGGGGUGGGCAAGUCUGGUGUCAGCCGCCGCGGUAAUACCAGCACCCCGAGUGGUCGGGACGUUUAUUGGGCCUAAAGCAUCCGUAGCCGGUUCUACAAGUCUUCCGUUAAAUCCACCUGCUUAACAGAUGGGCUGCGGAAGAUACUAUGGAGCUAGGAGGCGGGAGAGGCAAGCGGUACUCGAUGGGUAGGGGUAAAAUCCGUUGAUCCAUUGAAGACCACCAGUGGCGAAGGCGGCUUGCCAGAACGCGCCCGACGGUGAGGGAUGAAAGCUGGGGGAGCAAACCGGAUUAGAUACCCGGGUAGUCCCAGCUGUAAACGAUGCAGACUCGGUGAUGAGUUGGCUUUAUGCCAACUCAGUGCCGCAGGGAAAGCCGUUAAGUUUGCCGCCUGGGGGAGUACGGUCGCAAGACUGAAACUUAAAGGAAUUGGCGGGGGAGCACCACAAGGGGUGAAGCCUGCGGUUCAAUUGGAUUCAACGCCGG